rnacentral:rRNA from 1 species
GUGGGGAAUAUUGGACAAUGGGCGAAAGCCUGAUCCAGCCAUGCCGCGUGUGUGAAGAAGGUCUUCGGAUUGUAAAGCACUUUAAGUUGGGAGGAAGGGCAGUAAGUUAAUACCUUGCUGUUUUGACGUUACCGACAGAAUAAGCACCGGCUAACUUCGUGCCAGCAGCCGCGGUAAUACGAAGGGUGCAAGCGUUAAUCGGAAUUACUGGGCGUAAAGCGCGCGUAGGUGGUUUUGUAAGUUGGAGGUGAAAUCCCCGGGCUCAACCUGGGAACUGCCUCCAAAACUGCAUGACUAGAGGACGGUAGAGGGUAGUGGAAUUUCCUGUGUAGCGGUGAAAUGCGUAGAUAUAGGAAGGAGCACCAGUGGCGAAGGCGACUACCUGGACUGAUACUGACACUGAGGUGCGAAAGCGUGGGGAGCAAACAGGAUUAGAUACCCGUGUAGUCC